GAAUAUUUCAAAUUAGGUGUUAGCGCGCUCGGUCGAAGAGGACGACCUCCCCGCCCCGAGGAGAGGACCGGCCUUCGGUCAAGGGUAUACGAGUAGCUGCGCUACCCUGCUAGAACCUCCAAACAAGCUCUCAAAUUAGGUGUUAGAGAUUUUUAUCAUUGAAAGGGGUAGGUAUGUAUCACCCAACUACCAAGGAACUGGGUUAUCAGGCAGGAUAGCCAGCCAUA
rnacentral:snRNA from 1 species